NNNUGCUAUCUUACUCUCACCUGGCCGCGCUGCGGAUCCUCCCCUGUGUCUGACGGCGUCUCACCUGGCCGCGCUGCGGAUCCUCGCCUGUGUCUGGCGGCGUCUCACCCAGGCGCGCUGCGGAUCCUCGCCUGUGUCUGGCGGCGUCUCACCCAGCCGCGCUCCGGAUCCUCCCCUGUGUCUGGCGGCGUUUCACCCGGCCGCGCUGCGAAUCCUCCCCUGUGUCUGACGGCGUCUCACCUGGCCGCGCUGUGAAUCCUCCCCUGUGUCUGACGGCGUCUCACCUGGCCGCGCUGCGGAUCCUCGCCUGUGUCUGGCGGCGUCUCACCCGGCCGCGCUGCGGACUAAGUGAACUGGACUGGACUAUCUCAGGUUAUUUUCAUGUUUUCUCUCUGUACUACGAGUUAAAAUGCUCUGGUCUGCUUUAUUGACAAUCUUGGGGUGUCUGUCACUCCUCUGUGUUCUAACUCCAGUUUCCUUACGUUGGUCACAGGUAAAUUCCAGAUUAUUGCUGGAAUUCCUGGUCAGUACGGUCUACAUGGUUAAAUGUGGUGUAAUGGAACCACAGUGGCAACCUCCAAACAGAGGUUUUGACCCCAUUUGUAUGCACAAUAUGGCAUUUCAAAACUGCAUUCCAUCUAUUUGGUCCUACCGUACAACCUUACCACCACGGCGCCAUAACAAACCAUAUGCAAAUUUGGCCAACCUUCGUUCUUUCCCCAGGACCUUGGAGUCCAACACACAGCAAUGCCACCUGAAAAUGGCUUUGCUUAAUACUCGCUCGCUCAAUACUAAAAGUCUUGUCUUAAAUGAAUUUAUAUCUGACAGCAAACUAGAUUUUCUUUGUCUUACCGAAACCUGGCAAAAACCUUUGGACUAUUAUUUGUUAAAUCAGACCACUCCUGUAGGUUAUACAUACAUUGUUAAGCCUCGCAUGGAAGGGCGAGGAGGUGGUAUCGCUGCAAUCUAUAGGGCAGACAUUAAAACAACUACAAUUUCCAUUCCUGCUGCACUUUCUUUUGAACACCUUGUUUUCAAGCUGUCUGGCCCUACUCCUCUGGUCAUUGCUGUGAUCUAUCGCCCCCCCAAGCAAAACCCCUCCUUUCUUGCUGACUUUUCUGAGUUCCUCACUCAUCUAAGUGCCCUUUCUUCAUCUGUUCUCCUCUUGGGUGAUUUUAACAUCCAUAUUGAUGACACCAACUGCAAGUUUGCUAAUGAAUUUUUGGAUUUAUUAGAGUGCCUUAGCUUUACACAACAUGUUGACUUUCCAACUCAUAUAAAGGGUCAUACUCUAGACCUUGUCUGCUCGACAGGUGUUGCUAUAAAUCACAUCUCCAAUCAACAACUUGGUGUCUCUGACCAUUUGACGGUCUCCUUUGAUGUUGAUGUUCCUGCCCCCAUCACAAAAACAAAACGUAAAAUUUCGUUUAGGAAUCUUAAACAAAUUUCCCCCUCUGCUCUUACAGACUCUCUUAUCAACCAGUUGUCUGUCUCUCCUCCUCUGCCACCUAGAAAUCCUUCAGCCCUUGUCGAUUAUUAUAAUGACACUCUCUCCUCCUGUCUUGAUCAGCUGGCUCCUCUCAAAACCAAAGUAGUUUCAUUUUCCCAUUCAUCACCAUGGUACACACCAGAACUCCACCAAAUGAAAUCUCGGAAACGCCAGCUUGAACGACUUUACAGGAAUACUGGCCUAACAGUGCACCACCAGGCAUACUCUGAUCACCUUAAACUUUAUAAACAUUCCCUAAAUCCAGCCAGAUCCAAUUACUACCCUGAUCUUAUUCGUGCUGAUUCGUCUAACCCUAAAGCUCUUU
rnacentral:lncRNA from 1 species